GACGAACGCUGGCGGCAUGCCUAAUACAUGCAAGUCGAGCGAACAGAUGAAGUGCUUGCACUUCUGACGUUAGCGGCGAACGGGUGGGUAACACGUAAGGAAUCUACCUAUAAGCGGGGGAUAACAUUCGGAAACGGGUGCUAAUACCGCAUAAUAUCUUCUUCCGCAUGGAAGAAGAUUGAAAGACGGCUCUGCUGUCACUUAUAGAUGACCUUGCGGUGCAUUAGUUAGUUGGUGGGGUAACGGCCUACCAAGACGAUGAUGCAUAGCCGACCUGUGAGGGUGAUCGGCCACAUUGGGACUGAGACACGGCCCAAACUCCUACGGGAGGCAGCAGUAGGGAAUCUUCCGCAAUGGGCGAAAGCCUGACGGAGCAAUGCCGCGUGAGUGAAGAAGGCCUUCGGGUCGUAAACCUCUGUUAUAAGAGAAGAACAAAUUGUAGAGUAACUGCUACAGUCUUGACGGUAUCUUAUCAGAAAGCCACGGCUAACUACGUGCCAGCCGCCGCGGUAA
rnacentral:rRNA from 1 species